rnacentral:rRNA from 1 species
GACGAACGCUGGCGGCGUGCUUAACACAUGCAAGUCGAACGGUAAGGCCCUUCGGGGUACACGAGUGGCGAACGGGUGAGUAACACGUGGGUGAUCUGCCCCGAACUCUGGGAUAACUGCUGGAAACGGUAGCUAAUACUGGAUACGACCUACGAAGGCAUCUUCUGUAGGUGGAAAGAAUUUCGGUUCGGGAUGGACUCGCGGCCUAUCAGCUUGUUGGUGAGGUAAUGGCUCACCAAGGCGACGACGGGUAGCCGGCCUGAGAGGGUGACCGGCCACACUGGGAGUGAGACACGGCCCAGACUCCGACGGGAGGCAGCAGUGGGGAAUAUUGCACAAUGGGCGCAAGCCUGAUGCAGCAACGCCGCGUGAGGGAUGACGGCCUUCGGGUUGUAAACCUCUUUUAGUAGGGAAGAAGCGAAAGUGACGGUACCUGCAGAAAAAGCACCGGCUAACUACGUGCCAGCAGCCGCCGUAA